UGUAGCUGAUGAACUACACGAAAGAUUGGUCCUUUUGUGCUGUAGUUUAGCAAGAACAUUUCUUUAACAACUAAUAAUGUAGGCUGAGCAUGCAGUGCUUCUUAUGUGAUCGCACAACCAAGAGGCCAAAAUUACCGACAUGUCCAAUAUGAGGCUGCUGCCCUUGUUGGCUUGUCUGCUAUUUCUUCCCAACAUCCUCUGUGACAAUGAUACGUUUAUAGCAGCCAUAAUGGGCCUGGAAAGGGACACUCUAAAGUAUCCAUGUCGCUAUACGGGACGAAUCUAUGGCCAUUUUUGGCAUCCUUACAAGCUGGUACCCCCUGCAGUGCAGAUAAAACCCUGUGUUACUCUAGAAGUUCAGUACUGCCAGCAUAACACCAUUGCUAAAUGUAAUCAAGACCGAGUGUAUUGG